rnacentral:rRNA from 1 species
GACAGAGGUUGCAAGCGUUAAUCGGAAUUACUGGGCGUAAAGCGUGCGCAGGCGGUUCUGAAAGUCAGCUGUGAAAGCCCCGGGCUUAACCUGGGAAUUGCGGUUGAAACUACAGGGCUAGAAUCUGGCAGAGGGGGGUGGAAUUCCACGUGUAGCAGUGAAAUGCGUAGAGAUGUGGAGGAACACCGAUGGCGAAGGCAGCCCCCUGGGCUGAGAUUGACGCUCAGGCACGAAAGCGUGGGGAGCAAACAGG